rnacentral:lncRNA from 1 species
CCCCAAAUGGCCAAGGAAACCAUUUUCAGAGCAGCAACCCGAUGGGCAUCCGCACCAAGAUGGAACCAGAGCAGGACAAACGCCUGUCCUCAGCUCUCCAUCUGGUCUCCGUGCCCCCACGACAGCCCUGGGGACACAGGCAGCCCCACACGGCCAUGGAAAUGGCUGGCAGAGCAGCAACCCGAAAGACAUCUGGACACACACAGAACCAAAGCACCGCAGCCUCUGCCCAACAACCCGGGUCUGCACCUGCCCAAGGCACCCACCGAAGCAUGAGGAAAGCACCUGCCCUGUUCUGCACUGCUCUGCACUCCUACAGUCAGCCUGAGGAUCCACACUGCACGCACAGUGGCAGCUCCCCAGCACAUCCCAGCUACAGACCCAAUCGCAGACCUACACACACACGGAUGCUCUCAAGGACAAAGGCAGCUCCCCAGCACAUCCCAGCUACAGACCCAAUCGCAGACCUACACACACACGGAUGCUCUCAAGGACAAAGGCAGCUGCUCUACGCUCACCUCAUCUUCGUUGGAAGCUGAUCAGAGCAUCUCAAAAUUAAAAUAACCUUUCAAACAGACUUCUUGAUUCAUUAAGCUCGUCUGCUUCUUGUAACAUCUCUUUCAGGAACCUUCUGGGGGUUUUCCUUAUCAUGUUCAUCUCCUUUUAUUUGUGCAUCGUAAUUAUAUUCUCUUCUCAUUUGUGAUCAUCUUUCUCCCCUUCCCAUUUUUAUUCUCAGACAUUCACCAACAAGCCUUUGUCUUAUAAAGUGUAUUGUAAGCUGAAGGAGACCCAUGAAACCUCACUGUGGCCCUCCAAUACUUGAAGGAAGCAUAUAAAUAGGAGGGGGAAUGGCUGGUUACAGGGGUGGGUGGUGAUAGGACAGGGGGAAUGGUUUUAAAGUGAGCCAGGGGAGGCUUAGGUUGGAUGUGAGGAGGAAGUUUUUCAUGCAGAGGGUGGUGAGGCAGUGGAACAGGUUGCCCAAGGAGGCUGUGGAUGCUCAUCCCAUCUCUGCAGGCAUUCAAGGCCAGGCUGGAUGUGGCUCUGGGCAGCCUGGGCUGCUGGUUGGUGACCUGCACACAGCAGGGGGUUGGAACUGGAUGAGCACUGUGCUCCUUUGCAACCCAGGCCAUUCUGCGAUCCUGUGAUUCUAAGAAUGGGAGCAGGUUGUUGGUUUGGGAUUACCACAAUUACCACCACCACACACCAGCACCCCAACCUCA